GCUCACAUCAUAAAAGGAGUGUGUGAAUAGCAAAAUAAGGUCUCUUAAUAGCACCAGCCUUAAUUUCUCAAUUUAGUUAUUCUCAAAGUAUUUAUAUAAAGUUCUUCAUUUUUUCCUUGUAUUAUAAAAAAUUAAGAAAACUUGUAACAAAUUCAGAAAUAACAAACUACACAUACCCCCUUUAAAAAGAUCUGAAACACAAAAACAUCCAAUUACAUUGAUUAUAAACAAAUAAGGAUAGUUUUUAACAAUUAAGACAAAUUCUUUUUUAUCUGUCAUGUGUCAUGAGGUAAUUUACCAAACUAACCCCGCAUAACUUAAAAGCUGAAAUUGGGAGAGAGAACAAAACGUCAAAUCUUGCUGCUACUGCAUUGGUUGUCCAAUCUUGCUGCUACUGCCAGGUCGCCCAAUCUUGCUACGCACUACUGCCUGGUCGUCCAAUCUUGUCGUCCAAUUUUGCUGCUACUGCCUGGGCCUGGUCGUCGAGACUUGCUGCUACUGCCUAGGCCGGUCGUCUAAUCUUGGUGCUACUACCUGGGGGUCUAGUCUUCUAAUCUUUAUGCAUAAUGAGACAUACAACACUUUAUAACACUCGAUUUUGCAAAAACUCGUCACCAAAUUUGGGAUUAAUAAGAAAGCAACAGUAUGAAAAUUACAGUAACACAACUCCCUCCACCAAAAUCACCUCACCUUUAUUUACCCAAAUUAAUACAAACUAAAAACCUUAACUACAUUUCCCCAAAUUAUUACAAACCGAAAAUAGACCGGCAUAUCUUCCUUCGGCGAGAACGAGCAAGUUCACUAACCUCAGCCCCUAUGGUACCUUUUAGUCUCCACAUCGGGCUCUUCGAUCAUCGUCGUCGUAGUCACCGUUGUCAAGAUCUGGAUGACGUUGAUAUCUAAUUCCUUCGGCUCUAGGUUAGAUUGAACUGCCGAAUUCAAUCUAGCAAUGGAGUCGAUGUCCAGUUUCGACGUAGUUGAUCAAGAGGCGACCAUCGAUUGAUCGACAGCGAUCAAGCGGCGACGUCAAUACUUAACUCCUCCGGCUUCAGCUUCGAUCGAGUGGCGGAGUCGAUCUAAUAACAGAGUCGAAGUACAAUGCCGGUGUAGUGGAUCAAGCGACGACAUCGAUCUAGCAGCGUGCUAGCGUUGUACUGUGGAGAGAGAGAGGGGUCAGAUCAAGGGUUUUGGGAGAGAAGAAUGGUAAAGCAUGUAAUUCUGUUUAUAAACUGGACAUUUUGGUCAUUUCUUGAUGAAAAUGGUAGUCAACAUAUGAUAUUAUUGACUUCAGGCUUAGGCUUUUGUACUUCUUUGUUUAAAUCUUUUUAAGGAUGAGUUUUUUGUGUUUUGUUAUUGUUUAAGGUAAUAGUAUGCCACUUUCUUAUUAAGAAAACUCUUAAUGACACCCUCUAUAAAGUAAUAAAUAUUCAUUUAUCGAUAAUUAUUCAUUUAUUAAUAAUAUAACAACUCCUCUAGUGCAUGUUUGGUACAUAGGAUUAAAUAAGAGGUAUUAGAUAAGAGGUACUAAGUGGGUUGGCCUAUGUUUGGUGUGAGGGAGUACAAAAAUAAAUGGUACUACUUAACACCUGUUUUUGGCUUUCAACCUCCUUUAGUGGUGUUAUUGUGAGUACUCACCUUUGAGGUCCCAAGAUAACAUCAUCUCUCUCUCCUCCCUUUAUUCCUUUGAAACGUCUCUCACUUUCUCUGUCAAAGUGAUGACUUAUCUCAACUCCAUUCUUUUUUUGAUCAAAAGAGGUCAUCCUUUAUUAGCUCAGCAAGCAGUACAAAAACGAUCCCCCUCAGUGAGGGCGACAGAAAGAACCGUUCCCUAGAAACUACUACAAAUUCACCCAAAAAAGAGCAAACUAUACUAGCAAUCUCCUAGUACACCCACCUUCUUGUAUGAAGCCCAAAAUAAAGAAAUUAUAGAGCUCGGCGAAUAAAAUAUAAGUCCCAAUUAAAGGACCACCGAGUCUCUGUUUCCUUUGCGAUCUCUCUCGCUCAAGGCAAGAUAAUAAAAGGUCCAAUAUCUUUUCGUGAAAAAAGAUAUGAACCCAAAAAAGAAAUAAAAUUAAAAAACAAAAUAACUACCCAAGCCUAACCAGGCCCAAACAAUGGGGCCUAGAGGGAAACCCUAGGAGUCAUCCCUGACCAAGUUUUGCUACCGUCAAUCCUCGCCCAAGCUGAAGCCGCCGCCGCCACUGUCAUGCUCACACUGUGAAAACUAACACCAGCAAUCAACCCAAGCACGCGAUUUUGCACUCCAAGCAUACACACAUUGGUCACGCGAAGGAUAGAGGAAUCUCUAGGUUUCCACCAAGCCUUUCACCACCCAUAGGAGGCUCCUGAAAUGACUUAGACAGCCACACACUACCGAUCUCGUCACCCAUAUGAAGGUAAUGAGGGGGACAAACAUCCUGAUCAAUAUUAUUCUUGUCACAUCCCGACCCUUAUAUUUUUACAUUAUUUACUAGCCUGAUUAUAAUAAGAAUUUUACCGUCUCCGUCAUUAAGUUAAUAGUUUAAUUGAUCCCUAGAGGGGUUCCGGGGACGUUUAGGUGCGGAGGAUUAUUCGUAAGAGAAAAUUUCGACGACGGUAAAAAUGGUAAAUUUUAACUAGUAAAAAGUAAUUUUUAUUCGGGUAUUUUUUUCGGGGUGUUUUAUUUUGGAUUUGGGUGGUAUAAGAAGGUUGGACCGGGCCAAGGGGUGGUCAAGCCCAGCCCCCUUUUCUCUCUCUCUCCCUCCCGGUUUUCCCGCAGCCGAUCUUUCCGUCGCCGUCCGGCCACCAACCGCCGCCGCACCGGUCCCGUUCGGUCGGCCAUCAACCCAGCAACCUUCUUGGACCGGUGACAGCUCCCCUAGCGCCGCCGUGAGAGAGCGGUGUUGCCCGAAAUGCUAGGCUGCCCCGAACUUCCGGCCGUCGGAACUCCCUCCUCCGGCCACCAAAACCGGCGAUCCUUGGCUCUUUUUGUAGCCCUCUUCCCAUGCAGCAACCCCUCCAAUCAGCUCACUCCCUCUUGAGCUAGGUAAGGAGAAAUGUGGAGUUGAAUUUUCUAGGGCUUUUAGGAUGUUUUCUUUCGAUUAGCUUAGUUAGGCUUGGAAUUGGGUGAUGUGCUGGUUAUGAAAGUUGUAGAGCAUGAUGAGGAGAUUAUUCUGUCAAAAUUUCAUAGGUUUUGGAGGUCGCCAGAAUUGGCCUCCGGCCGCCGCUGCCGGCGGAGCCGCCGGUUAAGAGAUUUUUAGGGUUUUAAGUGUGGAAUAUUAAGAGGAUUUUAUUGAUGUGAUUUAUGGAAUUUUUGGAUGAGAUUUGGAUAGGUUUGUGAAUUUCCGAAGUUUGGUAUUUUUGGCGGUUAAUUAAUGUAGAAUCCGGCCGUAGGAUUUAAGUCGUAUUUUUGGGAGGUUGUAUUUACGACUGUUGAGUAUGAUAUUUAAGUUCGGAUCGUUCCGAUUUAAGAAUAUCGAAGUUAGGCAAUGAUGAGCGUAUUUAUGGCUCUCGGGUAAUUUUGCCUAUUUUGAUUAAAUAUUGGAUUAUUGGUUGGGAAAUUAAUAUUAUAUUUGGAACAGGACGUGAGGAGGCUCGAGCAGACGAGGCCCCAGAUCGACAUCAGGCUUAGGCCUAAAUUGUGAGUGGACGUUUAUUUUAAAUAAAUGCAUGCUAUNNNNNNNNNNNNNNNNNNNNUAGGGGGUAUGGACACAUAUUUAUACACCCGUCUGUCCCCCUUGAUGGCGUAGUGUAGCACCGCAUUAAGGCGUGACGUGAGCGUUGGACGCGAGCGUAGUAGCCCUAUAUAGACCCAUGAAUUUAUAUAGGGAGUAUGGACGAGUGUAAAUACAUACAUAUAUUAUAGAGUCUGAGAGGCUCGAUAUUUUAUGAGAUAAAAGUUUUAUCGCUUGCGGCAUGCAUUCGAUUUUUCCUUAGAAAUUAAUUUGGGGAAACAUAAAUAUUUUAUUUAUUAUUUUAUUUUUGUCCACUCACUCUAACGUUAUUAAAUGCUUUCCCCUGGGCCCUUCGUUUUAAAUUGCCCAGUCUGCAGAGUUUGGGUUGGAUCUAGUAGGAGGCGAGGCAUAGUCACCCGCAUUUCUGCCAGUUUUCGUCAGUAGGUUACCUGUUCAACCUACUCGUGUUUUCUUGCUUCCGCUAGUGUGUAGUAGCUCUGAAUACUUUGAGAUUAUUGUAUAUUAUGUGUAGAAUUUCUGAAGGAUAAUUAUGUGAUGUUUGGACGUGUUGUAUUAAGAGUGGAAUUUGAAAUUUUCGAGUUAGGGUUGUCCAUCUGCAAGGGAGAUUUUCUCAAUCCUUUCAGUAAAUUUUCCUUGGAGGUGGUCCCCGCACGACUUACUCCGGGUUUCAGGGUGAAAUUCGGGGUGGGUCGUGUCAAUUCUCAUCGUCGACACACCACCCAAAGUCGAUUAGGACCAAAGGAUCUUGAACUGACCACGGUCCGCCUUCUGAUCUAUCACCGCUAUGGCACCACUCAAUCCACCCAGCACCACCGUGAUCGACCGAGUUCAUGCCGUCCCACAGAUGCGUUCUUCCAUCAAAACUCACCUUCCGAGCUCCCAAAGCCAAGAGACCAACACAACAGAACCAAAGUAAUAGGAAUACGCUUGCAAUUUGAUCCAUAAAAAUGGAAAAGAUAUUGACGCAGCCUCCGCCAGAGGCGGCGGUGCUCAAAACCCUAGCAGAGCUAGGUCGGGUUCACAUGAGCGAGAGUUAACUUUUUUAGAUUUAACUUAUCUCAACUCCUUUGUUCUUCUUCCUCCUCAUCAAUUCCUUUCUAUCUUAAUAAGGGCUCUUGGGUUUUCUGAAUUUUGGGUAAUGAGGCAGAUGGCGCAGGUGAGAAUCACGUCAUUCUUGGUGCACGAAGACGUGGGGGCCGAAAGACGAUGAAGGGGAGGGAUCUGAAUCAGCAAUCCUAACACAGUACCACCAACAUGGACACCAAUGAAAAUUUGCCCUCAUUGAUCAUCCACAAUUACUGGAUCUUCUAAUACAACUGAAUCAACAAUGAUUGAGUCAGCAAGCAAAGUUAUCAAAUUAAACUUUCUGUAGAUUUUCUGAAUCCUCAAGAACACGUACAUCAACACUAUCUGGUUUACUGGAUUUUUUCCUUUCUCAGUUUUAAGGAAAAACGCAGAGUUCCAUGAGGGGGUAAUUUGUUGAAUUUGGUCCAUAUGGGUUCUCAGUAUUGCAAAGGUGAAAAGAGGUUUUGAUUUGGAUGCAGAUUUGGUUAUUGUUCUCCAUAGUCUAACUUUAGAUAGUACUGCAUCACCAAACAUGGUUCAAAGUGGUGUUAAGUAAACCCUGCUCAAGUGAGAGUAGGCUCUGCAUGUUUGGUACCCAGGAUAAGCUGGGUUUGGACUAUCUUAGCUUAAAAAUUAGUCCCUGUCCUGUGUUUGGUGGAGACUGGGACUCAAUUAAAUGAGUUUGUGGAGUCCCCAUGUCCUCUCCACACAGUGCUACAUAGAGACCCCAAUUUUGGGGGGUUUACAUAAGCGCGACCUCUCUCUCGUUCUGAAAUGUCACGAGUUUCUAGAAACAGUGUUCUCAGCCUCUACCUCUUCGUUUUUCUCUUCUCCUCGCCUCAGCCUCGUCAGUCUCUCUCAGCUCGCAAUAUUUCACUUCGCUCUUCUUGAUCUGCUCUUCUUCGGUGAUCGAUCAUAAGCUUUCUCUUUUUUUUAUUUUUUAUUUUAUUUUUUAUCCACUCUCAGCCCUUCUACCUUCUUCUUUCUUUCUCUUCUGUAAUUUGUUUUUGGGAUGCAAAUUUGAAAGAUUUGAUGUAUAGGUAGCUUGAAAUUGACCGAUUUGGUGCCUGGGUAACUCGAAAUUUGUAUGAAUUGAUCAAUUUCAUGUUUUGUGCCUCCUCCUUUUCAUUUCUGGGUUUGAGGGAUGUUUUUUGUUGCAAGGUGAGAUUUCUCUUUCUAUCUUUUGCAGAGUUCAUCUUUAAUCAUCAAUCAUGUCACCAGUUGAUUCUCCUUUGCUCUUGUUCUACAGCACUAGUCAAUGGGUAUCUUUGUAGCUCUCUGUGUGGAUAGUUGGUUGGAAAAAAUUGCAGCAAUUACUUAUUGGCUUGAUGGCUAUCUUGCUCGCAAGAUGAGGUUAGGAUAUGGUUUUGAUGUUGGAUGGUUGUGCUUGUUGAUUUUUUGAAAGUGUAAACCAAAUAGCCUAUGUUAAAGAAAACAGCCUUUGGAGUUUCUUUUAAAAAUCAAUGGGCAUGGUGUUCUUCUUUCUCUGAUACUAUUCUUCCAAGUGAAUAAUUAUUCUCUCUGUUCUAGUCUUUAGUCCUAUGAAUCACCAAACAUGGGUCAUGUGCUAAUAUAAGACAAGCCGAGUUAAAGGAGUGCAUGACUAUUUUAGAAAUUAAGGUGAGCAUAGAGAGUCCUAUGUACCAAAGGUGCAGGCUAAGUGUUAAGUAAGCCUGCUCAAGUGAGAGUAGGCUAAAUAUUAAUAUUAGAGUGACUCAAAACAGUCCUGGGUACCAAACGUGCACCUAAAGUAUUAAUUUUUGGUGGUCCCAACUUUAUUCAUUUAUAGAGAAGGGGAAGAGAGAACUAUUGGAUGAUGUGGCAGAGGAGAUGAUGGGAUCUGCUGCCAAGGCGAAAAACUAGAGGGGACGCUCCUAGUGGUCAGAACAAGGCCAAGGUUCUUGUUGACCUAGCACUACGCCAUUUACUUCAUCAGACGACAGUCCAAGUCUGUCGUCUGAUUUUUUUUUUUUAUGUUGUCUGAGGAGCUGUCGAGUGAUGGACUAUCAGACGACGGAGAAUAGCCCUCGUCUGAUACGACAUCACACGACAUAUCUUAUGUCGUCUGAGAAGAGAGAAGAUUGAAAAAUUUUAGUAAACUUACCACAGUUAAGUGUGGACUGAAUCAUCAUAAAAAAAUUGUAAUAUCAUAUCACAAGGCACAUCAAAUGUCGUCUGUUUUGUAUACCUACCACAUAUAAGUGUGGACUGAUUGGAGAAUAAUUUGAUUUAUUGGAUUUUUCUAUCUAAUCACACUUUAAUAAAGUGUUGAGUGCGUGAGCUUACAACGUCAAAAAUUUGUAAUAUAUGUGGUUAUAUAGAAGAUCUAAUGUCACUUAUCUGUUGUCUAACUUUGUAAACUAUUAUACAUUUUGCUAGUUGUUCUGUCAGACAACAUUUAAUUGUACUUUCAAUUCUAUUCCUACCACAAACUUUUAACUUUUCCGCUUAGACUCUACAAUGUAACCACAUUUAAAUGUUGUCUGAAAGAAGCAUUAUCGUAGUUUAUCAUGAUUUUUGUCGUGCCGAGGUGCUUCACUCAACAUUUAAGUGUCGUGUGAUUGAAAAAUAAAAACGUUCAAUCAACAUUUUGUCUUGUGACUCCAGCUCACACUGCAUAUUUGUGUUGAGGUUAUGUUGCUUGUUAUAAACACAUAUAUGUUGUCGCUAUAAAUUGAACUUCAUAUAUAAAGAAAAACCAAGAAUAAAAGAACAAAAGAAACACUUCAUUGAACUUUGAUAAUCCACUUCAAUUACAAAAUCAUUUGAAGUGUAGGAAUCCAUGAAAAUAGCUACAAUACCAACUUGUCCUAAUCUAUAUACAACUGCAUUUUCAUUGCUCCUCCGGCAACUUUAAAUCACAUUCCUUUCUCCUAUGUCCUGUCAAAAAUCUGCCAAAGUUCCACUCUCAUUGCAAGAACUGAUCUGCCAAAUAGAUGAUAAAAAGAAAAGGGAAAACCAAAUUUAUGUUCACAUGAGUCACUAGUACAUGCAAUAUGUAAGAAUUAGUACAUGCAAUAUGUAAGAAUUUCUUUAAAAUAGGCAGUAUCAAUAACGUUAAGAAGGAAAGGAAUAGUUUAAUGGAGAAAGACCAUCAUACCGAUUCAUGUUGGCUGAAAAUGCGUUUCUUGAAUUCCUUGACAACCUUGGUUAGACAGACUCUACCAACUGAUGCAGCCAAAAGAAUAAAAUGAUCCAAGUUACAUUAGAAGUUAAAAUAUUUGUAGAUAACAUUACUACAUAUAAAUCAAGCACAUUCUUUGGAUGACUUUGUAAAGUAAAGUUUCCAACUACGACAUAUAAGUAGUACCAGAUUAGACAAUGCUUCCCCAUAUAAACUAGAAAGUAUAAUAUCAACCCUUACCAUUGGAACAUCUGGGAUGUCUAUGUGGCCCUUGACCAUCUUUUUCUCCUCUCCGGUGAUCCAUUCCCUUGAUAAUGUAAAUUUCAGAUAAACCAUAGAGAAAGAAGAAAAGAAACAUUUAUACAAUGCAACCAAUUACCUUUGAAUUUCAGGGUUAGUUCAUAUGUGCAGCUGACGCUUUUCUUGUUUCACACAGUCACCAAGAAUGCCUGAUCACUCAGUAAAGAUCAACUCAUGAGGGAUGAUGAGUCAUUAGGCUAGUACUGUAUCAUCAGACUCAACAGGAUAAUAACCUCUAGUCUCAACUGAAAUAACAUAAUUAAGGAAUGAAACAUGACAAAGAUUAGGGAAAACAAGAAAAACAAAAUGGAACGGUGAAUUUAGUGAGCAUGACAAUUGAAUACGAUAAAUCCAAAGCUCUGGAACAAUAAAUAUGCUUUAGGAAUGAAAAGAAAUUCCUAGAAUCAGCUUUCUCAUAAAUGGAAUUUGGCAUACAAUAACAAUGACAAAAUUAAUUAAGACCCACAUCCCCUACGCAUUUUGAGACAUCUGAUAUUUCUGCACUGCCCCCUUGGAACUCCACGGAACCCACUGAUGCAAGCAACUCCUGCAAAAGAGCUAAUCAUUUAAUUUCAAAGCUAAAGCAAUGAUAAUGAAGGAGGUAGCAGCUCAACAAAGGGGUAUCUUUAUUGUAUCCGUCGCCCAUUUAUUGACAUUCUUCUCCUCCCAAGUUCCAGCCUAAAUAGGAACAUACAUGUUGUUAGAUUAAUAAGUGCGAAUCUAAGAUUUAGAGACUGAUCGAAAAAAGAGAAAACGAAGAAUACGUGAUUCCAGAGAGAUCCGAGGGUGACGGGUUGAGAUUGAGAGGAGACAAUAUCCUAGGACGAGAGCUUUCUGGGAACCGGGGGAGGCACAAGAGAACGACUCGAAAGCAAGAGAAGAAGACACAAACUCAGCAGUAGAAGAGUCGAAGCGAGGACCAAGGAGUCUAGGACCGCCACGACCACCACCAGGUCUCAAGCUCAACACCGAUUGAUCAGCCUGCUGCAUACCUCGAAUUGAAUAGACUUGAACAGAGAAUCCGAUACGAUUGAAAUAACAAACGAAAGAUUAGACUCAGGGAAAGUAGACGCUGCAUCUGAUAGGAUUGGAUUUAUAUAUAAAAGAAUAAGAUUAAUGAUUGGGUUUAACUUCUCCCUUCGAGUUCGAAAGAGAAGAGAGAAAGGGGGAGGGAGGCGUUCAACAUAAUGAAAGAAGAGUUAGGGUUUUUAGGUUUUGAAGCUUGAGUAAAUGGUUCAGAUUAGAAGAGAUGGAAUAGAAGACUGAGAUUUGAUGACGGGUUUCUAGAUUAGAAAUUAUAAUUUUAAAUAGGCUAUAAGUUAAAAAUAUGUACAAAAUUAUCCGGGUGUCCGAAAAAUAAACCGAGAGUAAUUCUGACCGUUUGAUAUAAUUGCAGUAGUUAAAUAUAUAUGUGGUAGAAAACUUACCUAUUUUCGAUAACUUAUGGGUCUCGAUCAUUAGAGUCAACUUCAUUUAUACAUAAACUUUCCUAUUUUUCCUUGUGGGGAGCAAUAUGAUCGGUCGAUAAACGUGUUAGAAUGUUCACAUUGGAUAGUUUUGUUGACACUAAAUGAAGAUAUAAGAAUUGACGAAUCCCAUCUUUAAGUAUUGGCCGGUCUAGAUAAGAGCAUUUUCGUUUAGAUAAAAGUGUUGACUUUUAAAAGUAUUGCUCAAACGACAUAUAUAUGCCGUCUGAAGUUACUAAGCAAGAUUCGAUUAACGUUGACUGCAUCAACCGAGACGCGAACUUUAUCGAAAAUGCAUGAAUUUUGUUCUAUAUCCAUAAUUCACUAUCAUGAUGACAUCUGACGCUCAAACUUGAAAAAAAUCUAUUUCCGUUAUUUGAAUCACAAUAUGCGUACUAAUGUGCAAUAACAUGUUUAUUAAGUUAUUUAUAAACAUACAUCUUUAUAAGGCAACUAUAUGCACGAAACAAAAUUUACCUAAUCAGACCGUUGAAUAUGAUCGUAGUACUUAAAUAAGUAUGUGGUAGAAAACUUACCCAUUUUCGAUAACUUAUAGGUCUCGAUCAUUAGAGUCAACUUCAUAUAUACAUAAAUGUUUCUAUUCUUCCUCAUGGGGAGCUAUAUGAUUGGUCGAUAAACGGGUCUGAAUGUUCGCAUAAAAUAGUUUCGUUGACACUAAAUGAUGGUAUAAGAAUUGAUGAAUCCCAUCUUUAAGUAUUGUUUGGUCUAGAUAAGAGCGUUUUCGUUUAGAUAAAAGUGUUGACUUUUAAAAGUAUUGCUCAGACAACAUAUAUAUGUCGUCUGAAGUUACUAAGGAAGAUUCGAUUAAACGUUGACCACAUCGACCGAGACGCGAACUUUAUCGAAAAUGCAUGAAUUUUGUUCUACAUCCAUAAUUCACUAUCAUGAUGACAUCUGACACUCAAACUUGAAAAAAAUCUAUUUCCGUCAUUUGAAUCACAACAUGCGUACUAAUAUGCUAUAACAUGUUUACUAAGUUCUUUGUAAACAUACAUCUUUAUAAGGCAACUAUAUACAAGAGACAAAAUUUACAUAAUCUGACUGUUGGAUAUGAUCGCAGUACUUAAAUAUGUAUGUAGAUGAAAAUUUCCUCAUUUUCAAUAACUUAUAGGUCUCGAUCAUUAGAGUCAACUUCAUAUAUAGAUAAACUUUCUUAUAGCUUCCACAAGGAGAAGUACAUCAUCGUUUCAUCAAAAGUGUCCAAACUAUUACAUAGAUCUGUUUUCCUACUCUUAACGGGAGUUUGAAAACCGGUUAAUCAAAAAUAUAAGUUUUGUCGGAGGAGAUAAGGGCGUUUCCAUUUGGAAAAUAUGCACAUUUUAUGUUGACCACUUAUUUACAAUCUCAGACGACAUAUAAUCGCCGUCUCACAUUGAAGAAAAGUGAGGGAAAACUCUGGCGCCCAAAUUCAAAUAUUUCAGGUCCAGACGACAUUUUUAUGUUGUGCGAUGAAUACAUUAAGGUUGGCGCCUUCUCCCAAACUCAAAUGAAUUGACUAUUUCAAGUUCAUACAGACGACAUAUUAACCUCGUCUGAUGAAUAGAUUAAAAGGUUGAGCCAUUUUUCAAACUUAUAUUUCAGGUUGCCACAGACGACAUUUAUCUGCCGUAUUAUUGAAUACAUUAAAAGGUAACCAAACCCAAUAUUUAAUUAAUUAAAUUGAGUAUUUCAGGGUCAGAGAGACCACUUUCAUAUGUCGUCUGAAGUUAUACAUUACAAGGUUCGUGCAUCUUUCCAGACUCAAUUUUAUGAGUUUGUUAGACGUCAUUUGUUUGUCGUCUGAAUAAGUGAAUUUAAGGAUUCAAAAUGGAGGUAUAAAUCAAAGAUUUAUGGUUCUUUCAGACGACAUUAAUAUGUUGUUGGAUGAAGUACAUAAAAAGGGAAUUAAAAGUUGAUUUCGCAUUCUUUCACAGACAACUUUUAUAUGUUGUCUAACGUAUUAGUAUAAAGUUGUUAAAUGUUGCUUUUUUACACUACAUAUAUAUGCCCUCUGAAAUUUUGCAUAUCACAGACAAAUUGAGCAACAUCCAGAAGUAUGAAGGGAGCAUGGCACUCAGACGACUUAUACUUCAUAAAUGUCGUCUGAAUGGUCGAAAAAUUAAUCAGACGACAAAAACUUAAAAUCGUCCAAAAUAUGUCGUCUGAAAAGUGUCGUCUGAUGAUGUAUAUGGCCUAGUGUAGCGUUGAGAUUAAAGAUUAUGUCUUUCCUACCAUCUGAGGUACAAAUUAGCAACAAUCUAAGGGGUGCAUCUGAGUAGAGGUACUGCAGAUUGUUUGAAUAAUCUUGGAAAGUAGACUUGGUUUCGUUCAGGUUUCUUUUUUAGCAUAUAAUUUUAAUGUCUGAUAUAAAGUUCACUUUAUUUAGAGAAAAUUAAGUGUUACGAGUAUAAGUCUCAUGACAACAAUGAAAGUCGCUUCUUUAUAAAGUUAAUAUCUUUAUCAUUUCCCACAUUUCAUUGGCAAUGCUAGUAAGAUUUGAACUUGAAAAAAUCUAUAAAUAGCCAACGUUUCUUCCAAAAAUAAACAUCUGAUCAGACAUCUUCAAUAUGUAUGUAUACAUACAUAUGUGAAUAGUUAAGAUAAGAGAACAUAUUAUAGAAACAUAGUGGUCAAACAUAUAAAUUAUUAUAAAUGGCUAAGAUUGCACCGUAUAUUUACAUGUCGUACAUACAAGAAUUUAUUGAUCAUCGAUCACAUAAUCACAUAUCACACAAAAAAGGAAUAGACCAAUCGUUAACCGACGUGUGUCGGCCUCUCUUAGAACGACACCUUCUUUUUCCGGACCCCUAGAUAAAACCCGAUAUCUCUCUGGCUAGACGGGUGGAAUAAAAGAAGAGGAAAUUGACCGAUUGAUGCUCUCUCAGCCUUUCUGAGAGAGAAAGAGAGAGAGAUGACUCGGGGAAAGCAGAAGAUCGAAGCGCAGAGGAAAAAUGCGGAGAGGAAUCAGAAGCCCAAAGGCUCUCAGUUUGAGGCCAGAGCCGUUGCUCUCAAAAUCAGCUGUCCCAUCUGCAAGGUGCUUCCCUCUUCCAUUCUCUGCUUUCAUUCUUUAUAUCGUUUUGAUCUCAGCUUUCGUUUUCAUUUUUCUAUUGCUCAAUCGCUCAUGACUAUUAUUAUUAUCCAAAGUUUAGAAUGUAUUGAUUAGUACAAUCUAACUUUGGACAAGUAGGUGAGUUUAUUAUUGUUGAUGAAAUUGUAGAGUAAAAGCCGAACGGCGUUCAGGCAUUGUAUAUUUUGUUUGGGAGUAGCUCCCAAGAUCAGCAUGUAAGACACUGGUGGUGUUAUCGAUAGGGUUUAUGAUCUAGAAUAUAUUAGUUGGUCAUUGUUUGUGCCAUUAUGCACUCGUAGAACAAUGAUGUGGGCAGAUGAUGUGUCUGUAUUCCUCCGGUUCAUAGUGCUCGAUGUAGAAAUGAUGUUACUAUGGUGGCUAGUGUGGGUUUUAAGAAGGCGAGGAAAGGAAAAGAGUGGGUUAUACAUGUUUGGGAUAUUAUUGUUCAUUGGUGUGAUUGGGUCUGAUGGUGAUAUUCGGUAGAGGUGUUGAGAUUGUCUUGCAGUGAUUGCUAUGAGGCUGGCGGAAAUUUUAAUGGUGGUGGUUAAGGGUAAUUGGCGGUGGUUUGUGGUUUAGGUGACCAAAUAUUUUCAGAUUCCUUGUUUUACUUUCAUUUGAUUAUGUAGUGAGCAUCUGUAUUUCAGGUGUUAAUGUGUCUUCUCGUAUGUCUCUGUAGAUGAAAAUCGUUUAGUCUGUGGAAUAUAGAGUGGAAAUGAUUUAGAGGUAAAGGUACAAAAGGAGAGUUCAGUCUUUAAACAUUUUUUUUUUUUCUUUAAACAUUAAUGAUGGAAUAUUUUGUGCGAGUCCUGAUUUCCUUCUGAUGUGGAAUAGGAACUGGGAAUAUGAUGAAAUUUCAGAGAGUUAUGGUUGAUUUAGGCCAAGACAUUGACUAGACAUAGGACUGCAAGAAACAUAGAGGGCAUCCGAUAGAUUAGUUAAGCUGCAGUAAAACGUUCUCCCAGUCUUUUUAGAAGUCUAUAAUUAACCAAGGAGAUCUGGUUUUAAUCCCUAAAUUACAACCCCCAUUUUAUCCAGGGUCUGAACGGACGGUAUGAGGAAAUAAAAUUAGGGAUGGAAUUAGUGCAAGUCCUAAUUCCCUUGUAGUUAAUAGGAACUGGAGGAAUAUGACUAAAUAGCAGAGGUUGGGACGAUGCUGAGACAUUUACUAGACAUAUGAAUCGAUUCAAUCAAAGAAUCACAUAGCACCCUAUCAAUUAUUUAUGUUGUAGUGAAUACAACAUCCCCCACGCUUCCCAGUCUUCUGGAAGGUUUGCAGUAAAACAAGAGUUCUUGUUUAUUCCCUAAAAGAUGGAAAUUCCUCCUCUCAACUGACCCCAUUUUUUUUCAAAAGAUGGAAAUUCCUCCUCUCAACUGACACCAUUUUUUUUUUCAGGAGUAUUGGAUACCUUCAUAAAUAAUGCCACAGGUCUGAAGAUUCAGACUAAGAUCGUGCUUCAUCUGUUUGUGAUUGUUACUGGAAUAUAGAAUUUAACUGGGUGAUGACCAUGUUAUUUCUUUUCCAGUUGAAAGAAAAAUCAAACUUUGGAUAAUAUAAGUUUAACAGAAAUUCAAGAUAGCCAAAGUUAGUAGAGAACGACUAGCUGGCAGCUGCACUCCAAUUCUACAAGCUGGAGAGCAGACUCACACCCUUCAAAGCUUCUGAUACAGAAUCCCUGAAAGAGGAUAGAUGGAAAACCUUUUUACCAUGAUCCACCAUAUGAUCAAAUGUCAGUUUAUGCCCUUUCCACCCAGAUAACAUACAUGAUUGCCAAGACUAGAAUUCACAAAGCUUUUGCCUUUCUCCUUCCACCACAUCCUAAUCUAAGCUAAAGGAAUAGCACACCAUGUGGGGGAUCCCAGACCAUUUGAGCUUUGCUCUGUAUAGGGCAUAUUUUGAAAACCGAAUAAUACCUGACUUCUAUCAUAAAACAUAGAUCCAAGUUAUUUGAGAAUACCCAUCAAUACAUUUAACAUGACCAUUUGUAUUCAUUAUAUUAUUAACCUGAAAAGGACCUUGCACAGUAUAAUGAUUAGUGAAUAGUAAAAAACUAGCUAAAUAUGUACACUUGAGGAUAAUAACAUGUUGCUUUUCCUGUGUCUAUACACGCUGAAGGAUUGAAUGGGUAGCAGAAAACGUGACUUAAUGGUUCAAGGUUUUGGCUUGUCAUAAUGCUGCUAAUGCUAAAAGCUUAAAACUGGGAACAUUUAACAACACUAGAAAGGGAUUAAACUUUGAAAAAAGUUUCUUAUUAGCAGCUUAUUUGUUUUGGUUUACGAUUAAUUUUUAUAAUUUACUUAUAUAUAAUAUAUAAUCUGCACACACAUGUACCAACACAUACUAGUGGAACUGAUCAGUUUCUUUCACACACACCUAGAUGAGCAAAAAGUAUUUGGGUGAAAUUGGCGGUGUUUGAAGAUUAAAUAUUAAUUCUAUCAUCUCAUGUGAGAGUGUCCUGUGAUUUUGAAACCUAGAUGAAUCACAUGUUUAAGAGGAUCUAUUUCUGUUGGGACUAGUUUAUGUGCCCACCAUAUUCUGACAAAAUGUGGUGUUUCCAGGCGCAACUUGCAAAUGCAAAGCAACUUGCUGAUCACUAUGCUUCUAAACAUCCCAGAGAACAGCCACCAGCCGAACCAGAAUGAUCCCUUUCCCAUCUGAAGAAUGCUAAGAAAGAAGUAAAAUAUCCUUGGUUAUGCUGUUAUAGAACGAUGUAUUUCAAUAAAUUUGUUAUACAUUGACUUUUAUGAAAUCACUCAAGCUUCCUUCCCCUAUUUCUGAACCGUUGUAUGACUAUGAAGGAUGAUUAAGACCAUUCAAUGGGCUGUGUGAAAUGAUAGCUCACCUCUUUGUGAUCUAUUUGUUUUUAGAUGAGCCAUUACUUGAGUGCCUUCAUUCCAAGCCCCUCAACGAAAAGAAAAAAAGAGCUGAAUAAUGUCUUCUAGUUUCUGGGAAUCUGUUGUCAAAGAGAUGAAAUGAGCUUCUGCUUAGGAUGAUGAACAAAUCCCAUGGUAGGGAGGAGUCUGGGGUUGAGAUUGCUAGCUAGGAAUUAAUGAAUCAUAUUAUUAGGAAUGGAAGGAAUGGUUUUAUUUUUUAUUUUAUUUUAUUGGUCACAUAAUUCUACAAAUGGUAUACCCAGUUAGUUUCAUUCUUCACCUGAACACAGUUGGUCCUUUACUCCUGAGUUCUGGCACUAAAUAGGAUAAAGCGCAAGUUUAAUUAUUAUUUUUUUGUUGUUAUUUUUGUUUUGUUUUUGAGACAGCAUCUGAGAUUGAAGUUAACCUGAAGGCCAAAUCAUAGGGGCUAUUGUUAAGUAUUAUGUGAGGUGAACCACUGAAAUUGGUGUGGAGUAGAAAACUAGAUUACAUUAUCUUUGUGUGAAGCUCUAAACCCAGUUAUAGACUUAUAGGCUCCCAGAGAAGAAAAACAAGAGCGAUACUGAAAAAAUAAACACAAAGAAAAAGAAGGGAAGGUGACAGAUUGGAGAAGUGAGACAUGGCGGGAUAUCCUUGGUUAUUGCUGUUAGAACAAUGUAUUUCGAAUAUUUUGUUCUGCAUGGACUAAUUGGUUGAAAUUUGAGAAGUACGAGGAGUGAUUGGUUGAAAUUGAAAACAUGAGAACUAAACUAUUGAAACCUUGAAAAUAUAAGGAGUGACCAGUAAUUUGUCCUUAAAACAAUACAACAUUGAUGAGAAUGUUAAAAGAACACGAACAUUUGGAAAUAUAAAAGUAAACUGUCAAAAGAACUUGUCUAUCUUAAUGUGAACAAUAUUUGACAGAAAUUGGCGGUGCGGAUACUAAAAGAAUUUUAUUACCUCUUAAUGUCCUGUGAUUUUUUUUCAGAGCAAUGCAUUUUCAGAAAUUUUAUAUACACACCCGUUCUCAAUACACUAUCUAUUUAAUUUCUUAUUCAGAUAUUUUACUAAAUACACAACCCAAAGUACCUAAAAUACCCGUAAUCUAAAAAUCUAUGAAAUAUCAUAUUAUGUGACUAUAUUAACACUAUUAUUAUUGUAUAAUUAGUAUAUAUUUAUAUAAAUUAACAUUUUAUAAAUGUUUAUAGCUAUUAUUUGUGUUAGUUCUUGAGAAAUCCUUACAAAUUUAUUGUUCAUUUCAAAUUCUUAAACAUGAAAAUGAUAAACAAGAUGAAAAAUACAUAUCUGAAUAGUGUGUUUGGGUGAAAAGGAAAAUAUGUGAAAUAUAACGAAAUAAGUGUUCAUAUGCAUAACAAUUACAUCGUUUGACACUUUGACACUUUAAACUUGGAAAUUAUGAAUCUUUAAGAACAAAAAAGAAAUUAAUUGAUUAUCCAAAUUUUCUUGCAAAUUUUUUGUUUACUUUAAUAGUUUCCCUAAAUAAGUUCUCGAUCUUAAAAAUUUAAUUUGUUCUAAUUCACUUUAUUAGUUUCCAAAAAUAAGUUUUCGUUUUUAAUAUUUUAAUUUGGUUUAUAUUUCACAUUAUUAAUUUCCAAAUAUAAGUUUGUUUUUAAUAUUUAAAUUGUAUUACAAAUGCCUCUUUUGGUCAUUUAACAUACCAAUCAAAUCUGAUUUGAAAUAUUAAAUAAUAGGGAUGUGUAUUAAGUUAUUUGGGAUGUGUAUUUAAAACCACUCAAUUCUUUCAGUUUAUGUGCACACCAUAUUCUAACAAAAUGUGGUGCUUUCAGGCGCAACUUGCAAACGAAAGCAACUUGAUGAUCACUAUGCUUCCAAACAUCCCAGAGAACAGCUACCAGUUGGACCAUAAUGAUUUCUUUCUCAUGUGAAGAAUGAUGGAAAAAGAAGAGGUAAAAUAUCCACAGAGCAUAAGAUUAACCACAGAGCAAAGCUAAGCUUGUUGAGUCGGAUCAGGGCCGGACUAAUUUUCAAUGAGUCUCCAGAGUUAAAUGUGAAAGAGGAUAUGGUAAUGCCUGAAAAUCAAAGUGGAUGUCCAAUUCCUGGUACCUCGAGUGUUAGUUGGAGUCACAUAUAUAGAAGAUGUCACAUCCCGACCCUUAUAUUUUUUUACCUUAUUUAGUAGCUUGAUUAUAAUAAGAAUUUUACCGUCCCUGUCAUUGAGGUAAUAGUUUAAAUGGUUCCUAGAGAUAUUUUAAGGGACGAUUAAUUUCGGGGAAUUAUUCGUGGGAGGAAAUAUGACGACGGUAAAAAUGGUAAAUUUUAGCUAGUAAAAGGUAAUUUUUAUUCGGGUAUUAUUUUUCGGGGUGUUUUAUUUUUGGAAUUGGGUUGUUAUAUAGGUGAUGGACCGGGUUGGUCAGGCCCAAAACCCAGCCCUCACUUUUUCUUUUUCUUUUUCUUCCUCUCUUCUUCCCGGUUUCCUCCCGAGCCUCUCCCCCGUCGGAAACUUCUCACCGUCCGUACGCCGCCGUCCGGCCACCAUCUGCUGCCGCUCCGGUCCCGUUCGGUUGCCCUCCGACCCAGCUAUCUUCCAGGACCGGUGACAGCCCCCCUAGCGCCGUCGUGAGAGAGCGGUGCCGCCCGAAAGGUUAGACUGCCCCGAACUUCCGGUCGUCGGAACUCCCUCCUCCGGCCACCAAAACCGGCGAUCCUUGGCUCGUUUUGUAGCCCUCCUCCCGUGCAGCAACCCCUCCAAUCAGCUCACUCCCUCUUGAGCUAGGUAAGGAGAAAUGUGGAGUUGAAUUUUCUAGGGCUUUUAGGAUGUUUUCGUUCGAUUAGCCUAGUUAGGCUUGGAAUUGGGUGAUAUGCUGGUUAAGAAAGUUGUAGAGCUUGAUGAGGAGAUUAUUCUGUCAAAAUUUCAUAGAUUUUGGAGGUCGCCGGAAUUGGCCUCCGGCUGCCGCUGCCGGCGGCGGCACCGCCGGUUAAGAGAUUUUUAGGGUUUUAAGUGUGGAAUAUUAAGAGGAGUAUAUUGAUGUGAUUUAUGGAAUUUUUGGAUGAGAUUUGGAUAGGUUUGUGAAUUUCCGAAGUUUGGUAUUUUUGGCGGUUAAUUAAUGUAGAAUCCGGCCGUAGGAUUUAAGUCGUAUUUUGGGGAGGUUGUAUUUACGACUGUUGAGUAUGAUAUUUAAGUUCGGAUCGUUCCGAUUUAAGAAUAUCGAAGUUAGGCAAUGAUGAGGGUAUUUAUGGCUCUCGGGUAAUUUUGCCUAUUUUGAUUAAAUAUUGGAUUAUUGGUUGGGAAAUUAAUAUUAUAUUUGGGACAGGACGUGAGGAGGCUCGAGCAGACGAGGCCCUAGAUCGACAUCAGGCUUAGGCCUAAUUUGUGAGUGGNNNN
rnacentral:lncRNA from 1 species